rnacentral:rRNA from 1 species
GACGAACGCUGGCGGCGUGCUUAACACAUGCAAGUCGAACGGAAAGGCCUCUUUCGGGGGGUACUCGAGUGGCGAACGGGUGAGUAACACGUGAGUAACCUGCCCUUGACUUUGGGAUAACUUCAGGAAACUGGGGCUAAUACCGGAUAGGAGCUCCUGCUGCAUGGUGGGGGUUGGAAAGUUUCGGCGGUUGGGGAUGGACUCGCGGCUUAUCAGCUUGUUGGUGGGGUAGUGGCUUACCAAGGCUUUGACGGGUAGCCGGCCUGGGAGGGUGACCGGCCACAUUGGGACUGGGAAACGGCCCAGACUCCUACGGGGGGCAGCAGUGGGGAAUAUUGCACAAUGGGUGGAAGCCUGAUGCAGCAACGCCGUGUGCGGGAUGACGGCCUUCGGGUUGUAAACCGCUUUCGCUCAUGACGAAGCUUUGUGUGACGGUAGUGGGUAAAGAAGCACCGGCUAACUACGUG